rnacentral:rRNA from 1 species
GACGAACGCUGGCGGCGUGCUUAACACAUGCAAGUCGAACGGAAAGGCCUGCUUUCCCUUGUGGAUUGCGGGUACUCGAGUGGCGAACGGGUGAGUAACACGUGAGUGAUCUGCCCCCAACUUGGGUAUAAGCCUGGGAAACUGGGUCUAAUUCCCGAUAGGACUGCAGGGUGGUGCCUGUGGUGGAAAACGAUUUUCUAGUGGUUGGGGAUGAGCUCGCGGCCUAUCAGCUUGUUGGUGGGGUAAUGGCCUACCGAGGCGGCGACGGGUAGCCGGCCUGGGAGGGUGGACGGCCAGAUUGGGACUGGGAUACGGCCCAGAGUCCUACGGGAGGCAGCAGUGGGGAAUAUUGCAGAAGGGGCGGAAGCCUGAUGCAGGGACGCCGCGUGGGGGAUGACGGCCUUCGGGUUGUAAACUCCUUUCGACCGCGAGGAAGCCACCUGGUUGGAAGGGUGGUGACGGUAGUGGGAGAAGAAGCACCGGCUAACUACGUG